rnacentral:rRNA from 28 species
GGUGAAUCUGAAUAACUAUGCCGAUCGCACAGUCCUCGAACUGGCGACGUAUCUUUCAAAUGUCUGCCUUAUCAACUUUCGAUGGUAGUUUACACGGCUACCAUGGUUUUAACGGGUAACGGAGAAUUAGGGUUCGACUCCGGAGAGGGAGCCUGAGAAACGGCUACCACAUCC